CGUUAAUUCACAUGUGUUAGAACACCACCCCGCCGACGUGGAGGAUGACCUGUGGCGGUUUAUUAGAAAACAGCAACAGAAAAGUGAUAUUCUAUUUCCUUACCAUUUUGGGUUCCACUGGAUUCUUAUGGUAAUUAAAGUUCAGACCUCCUCAGUUCUCGUCCACGACUCUCUGAAUAUGGAUCCGGCGCUUUGGGGCGACAUGAGAAAAAUGUUGCAAAAGGUUUGGAGACGGUUCGUAGAUACCAAGGUCGGUGAAUUCAAAAAAGAGCUAUCUUUUAAAAUGGCAGUGCGGACGACCGGGG